GAUGAACGCUAGCGGCAGGCUUAACACAUGCAAGUCGAGGGGCAGCGUGGAGCAGCAAUGCUCUGACGGCGACCGGCGGAAGGGUGCGUAACACGUGAGCGACUUGCCCGUCACAGGGGGAUAACCGGCGGAAACGGCGACUAAUACCCCAUACGAUGCGAUGCUGCAUGGCAUUGCAUUGAAAGAUUCAUCGGUGGCGGAUAGGCUCGCGGGACAUUAGCUAGACGGCGGGGCAACGGCCCACCGUGGCGACGAUGUCUAGGGGUUCUGAGAGGAAGGCCCCCCANACUGGGACUGAGACACGGCCCAGACUCCUACGGGAGGCAGCAGUGAGGAAUAUUGGUCAAUGGGCGGAAGCCUGAACCAGCCAUGCCGCGUGAAGGACUAAGGCCCUACGGGUCGUAAACUUCUUUAGACGCAGAGCAAUAAGGUCCACGCGUGGACCGAUGAGAGUAUGCGUAGAAUAAGCAUCGGCU
rnacentral:rRNA from 1 species